CGACUCUCGGCAACGGAUAUCUCAGCUCUCGCAUCGAUGAAGAACGUAGCGAACUGCGAUACUUGGUGUGAAUUGCAGAAUCCCGUGAACCAUCGAGUCUUUGAACGCAAGUUGCGCCCGAAGCCGUUUGGCCGAGGGCACGUUUGCCUGGGUGUCACAC
rnacentral:rRNA from 1 species